GGUGUGUGAGAAUACUUUAUUAGUGAAACAUUUUCUUAUGUUGCCAGAUUAUUCAGGCACUGAUGCACAUCAAUGCUUUCGCAUUGAAUGUGGCUGACAGAAUUUAUCUAAUGGACCACUACACUGCUGGAGUAAUUCUGACUGGGGACAGGGCGUCUGUACGCCGCCAAAGUUUACCGAAGGUAAACUUUGACAACUAUGAAGCCAUUAUAUCAUUCAUCCACGUCAGAAAUAACCACUGGAACGCACUGUACAUACAUGCAAAUUCUGCCAGAGUUUUUGUGUGCGACCCAUCACCAGCAUCCAAUGAACACAAGGACUCAUGUGUUGCUGCCC